UUUAGAAAAAAAGACUUUUACUUCACAUACACACUAAAAUAAAAACACUUUCACAAACACGGCGACACCGACAUCAAACUACGAGUUCAUGUUUCCAAAACUGCUCUGGACACGACAUUUCAUCGUCUCUCUUUGACAGUUUGAACUCCUGUCGAAGUACAAAGAGCCUCUUUUAUACACAUAAAUACUUUCUUUUGAAGCCAACAGUUAUUUUACAUGAAGUCUUUUAACAUAUUCACAGUCAGUUGCAGUCAUUCGUUAAGUCUGGCGGCUUCGCUCUCGGUGACGUUUAUUAAAAAACUGAGAAGUAAAGAGGUUAAAUUAAACAUCCAUGUUGGUUUAAAGGACGUAGAGAAGCAAGUGGAAGAGCAUCGACUCUGAGGGUCAAAAUAUUCUGUUUUUAAAACAAGAAAAACACAAGAAACAAAUGAUAAAAAAAAACAGUUACAGACGAUAAAAAUAAAAAAUACACAGUAUGAAUUUAACACUCGGUGUUUUACACUUUUAAAGGGUUCAGACAUUCAAAUCCAGGACAAAGAUUCACCUCUCAAGUUACUUUAAAAAAAUGUUAAUUUUUAUUGAAUCUUUCAGAAUCAGAUUGUUUCUAAACACUAAACUAGCUGAACUGAACCAGCUGUUUGUGCGAGAAAAUGAUUGUUGUGUCUGAUUGUGUCUCUGAAGGAGUCGAAUGAACCAUGUCCGAGUUCACCAUGUCAACGAUAAGUUUUCUGAGAAGCUUCGAGUUUGUCCUCUCCUGACAUGUCCUCUCCAGUGUGAGCCAGUUUCAGGUCAAUAAAACACGUUAUUAUGCAGCUGACGGGGUCGAAGUUGGCUAACGUCAAUGAGAGUAAAGGACCAAAAGGAGGCGCUACAGCAAGAGUCAGUCAAGAUCGGGAACUUUAUCAUCCAGUAUUUUCUUCCUCUAAAAAAGUCGUUUAAUUUAAGCGUUUCAAGAGAAAACUAAGAAGACGAUUUCUGAUCUUUCGGCAUCCAUGACGCCGUUUC